CGUGUAGGCGGGGAAGUAAGUCGGGCGUGAAAUCCCUAGGCUCAACCUAGGAACUGCACUCGAAACUACUUCUCUUGAGUAUCGGAGAGGAAAGCGGAAUACCUGGUGUAGAGGUGAAAUUCGUAGAUAUCAGGUGGAACACCAGUGGCGAAGGCGGCUUUCUGGACGGUAACUGACGCUGAGACGCGAAAGCGUGGGAGCAAACA
rnacentral:rRNA from 1 species